UACGGAAUGUGCAAACGUUAUUCGGAAUCACUGGGCUUAAAGAGUCCGUAGGCGGCAUGUUAGGUGAGGUGUGAAAUCCCCCGGCUCAACCGAGGAAUUGCGCUUCAAACCGGCGUGCUUGAGGAAGAUAGAGGUGGGCGGAACUGAUGGUGGAGCGGUGAAAUGCGUUGAUAUCAUCAGGAACACCGGAGGCGAAGGCGGCCCACUGGGUCUUUCUGACGCUGAGGGACGAAAGCUAGGGGAGCGAACGGG
rnacentral:rRNA from 1 species